CCGGCCCAACAGCCCAAUUCACAGUUUGUAUUCAACUAUAUAAAUCUUAGGCUUGUUCCAACCCCAUUCCAAUCCCGAGAAGUCUAGGGUUUCCUCAAUUAGGGUUCCUCUCUCUACCACUCGAUGAGAUUUUGUUGUAGUUCUUCUAGUUUAUCUUCUCCAAAAUACUGAAGAUUGAUGCGAUGAAGAACCAAAUUGAAGAUGAAAAAUCAUCGAUUAUAGAGUGGUUACUUAAUAAUCCCUCUGUAAGAUGAAUAUCUAUCUGAUUAGACUGCCGAAUCGUAGGACGCCCAAAUUUUAUUAGUUUUGGAUCGUCUUGAACCCUCGGCCACAUUUCUUUUCUUCCUGAUUUCACUGUUUUUGAGUUGGUGGAUAUGUUGAUUUUGUUUCGUCUGGAGUAGUUAGGCAGAAUCUGUUUUCCGUAACUCCAAAUCUGUUUUAGAUGUUUCCGAGAGGGCUUCAUCAUGUUUAGAUUAGAAGGGCUCAGCAUGUUCAAAGCUCUAUUAAAUCUCCUAUUAUCUUCACUAUGUGAGCUAUCUGAACGAAGUUAUCAAUAUUCCUUUACUUUUUCCCCAUUUUAAACAACAAAUAAUUACUUCACUGAAUAUCUUACCAAACUAUUGCUGAUUAUGAACUUGCAUACCGUUGUCCAGACAUUAAUGGUUAUCAGCACCUUCUUGGUAGCCAAUUCUGCGUGCAGGUAUUUGGCUCGUUUUACUGAAUAUCUGCUACAACAACAAAUUGAAUCGUAGUUCUUCCAAAUUGAAACAUAAAAGUUCAUUAGAGGAGUUGAAAACUGGAAUUCGAUCUCGGUAAAUUUCUUCCCUCGCGGGUGGAAAUGAAUUAGUUGCAAUAUAGGAAGGGGGUUGUCGGCCUUCCCCAUGCCACAAAUUAUGAACAAACACAUUUAUUAAACGAGAUCUAGAGCCUUCAACACUCGCACACAAUUGGGUUAUACCAGAAAGAUGAACAUGACGGCGGCGGAUUUGGUAGCAGCAUCAGGAACCACCACAAACCGAUGCGGAACCUGAUCAUUUGCUUCCGAAAUCCUGACUUCAAUUCUCUGGAACUUGCGAAGCUUUAGUGAGUUUGGUCUUUCUUUAGUGAGAUCACUUCAAAUCCACCACGUUUUGUGGAGUUAUUUCGGUCCAGCACAGAGAAAAAUAUAAUAGUUAAAUUUCAAAUUUUAUAA